GGCACAGUGGUCUAAUGGUAUGACGCCUGCUAUGUAGAGUCCUGCUGGUUCUAGGCAGAGUGUGGGGGAUCUGGGUUCAAUUCCCAGCUGAGCCA